UACAGAGGGUGCGAGCGUUGUCCGGAAUCAUUGGGCGUAAAGGGCGCGUAGGCGGCCUGGCAAGUGACGGGUGAAAGCCCUCGGCUCAACCGAGGAACUGCCUGUCAUACUGCCGGGCUUGAGUCCGGGAGAGGUGAGUGGAAUUCCCAGUGUAGCGGUGAAAUGCGUAGAUAUUGGGAGGAACACCAGUGGCGAAGGCGGCUCACUGGACCGGAACUGACGCUGAGGCGCGAAAGCGUGGGGAGCAAACAGG
rnacentral:rRNA from 1 species